UACGUAGGGUGCAAGCGUUGUCCGGAAUUAUUGGGCGUAAAGAGCUCGUAGGCGGUUUGUCGCGUCGACUGUGAAAAUCCGAGGCUUAACCUCGGACCUGCAGUCGAUACGGGCAGACUAGAGUUCGGUAGGGGAGACUGGAAUUCCUGGUGUAGCGGUGAAAUGCGCAGAUAUCAGGAGGAACACCUAUGGCGAAGGCAGCUCGCUGGGACGUUACUGACGCUGAGACGCGAAAGCGUGGGGAGCAAACAGG
rnacentral:rRNA from 1 species